rnacentral:rRNA from 1 species
UGAGUAACACGUGGGCAAUCUGCCCUUCACUCUGGGACAAGCCCUGGAAACGGGGUCUAAUACCGGAUAUCACUCCCGCAGGCAUCUGUGGGGGUCGAAAGCUCCGGCGGUGAAGGAUGAGCCCGCGGCCUAUCAGCUUGUUGGUGAGGUAAUGGCUCACCAAGGCGACGACGGGUAGCCGGCCUGAGAGGGCGACCGGCCACACUGGGACUGAGACACGGCCCAGACUCCUACGGGAGGCAGCAGUGGGGAAUAUUGCACAAUGGGCGAAAGCCUGAUGCAGCGACGCCGCGUGAGGGAUGACGGCCUUCGGGUUGUAAACCUCUUUCAGCAGGGAAGAAGCGAAAGUGACGGUACCUGCAGAAGAAGCGCCGGCUAACUACGUGCCAGCAGCCGCGGUAAUACGUAGGGCGCAAGCGUUGUCCGGAAUUAUUGGGCGUAAAGAGCUCGUAGGCGGCUUGUCACGUCGGGUGUGAAAGCCCGGGGCUUAACCCCGGGUCUGCAUUCGAUACGGGCUAGCUAGAGUGUGGUAGGGGAGAUCGGAAUUCCUGGUGUAGCGGUGAAAUGCGCAGAUAUCAGGAGGAACACCGGUGGCGAAGGCGGAUCUCUGGGCCAUUACUGACGCUGAGGAGCGAAAGCGUGGGGAGCGAACAGGAUUAGAUACCCUGGUAGUCCACGCCGUAAACGGUGGGAACUAGGUGUUGGCGACAUUCCACGUCGUCGGUNNCGCAGCUAACGCAUUAAG